UACGUAGGCAGCGAGCGUUGUUCGGAAUUAUUGGGCGUAAAGAGCGUGUAGGCGGUCAGGUAGGUCCGUUGUGAAAACUCGAGGCUCAACCUCGAGACGCCGAUGGAAACCAUCUGGCUAGAGUCCGGAAGAGGAGAAUGGAAUUCCCGGUGUAGCGGUGAAAUGCGCAGAUAUCGGGAAGAACACCCGUGGCGAAGGCGGUUCUCUGGGACGGUACUGACGCUGAGACGCGAAAGCGUGGGGAGCGAACAGG
rnacentral:rRNA from 1 species